AAAUAAUAUUCCUCUAAACUAGAACUUUGUACUGCAGGUGGUGACUGAGCAACGUCUGGCAAAGCAGGAUAGGAAUCCAUUAACUGCGGAAGAAUUUGUGGUUCCCCUAAGCAAGCUGGAGCCCAUUUACAGGGAAGAGGAAGAAACGAUGAAAGUGUGGUUCCAACGUACCUCGCUCAUGAGAAAGCGUGCACGGCUCUUGGAAGAGGAGGCUGAAGCUCAAGGGUUGAAGGGCAAGGCGGCUAAGAAGAAUGAGGCAAAGAAACCAAAGGGAAAAAAAGGAAAGAAAAAGAAGAAAUUAUGAGAUAUGAUUAUAUAAGAUAGUGAAUAUACCACUAGCUUUGCAUUAUGAACUAAGAAAAUUGUUGUUUUACCAUAUUUAGUAUUUUAAAGAACCCUAUAGACAGUGACUCCAAUUAUUACAUUUACCAGCAACUAAGUAGAGAAAAGAAAUUCAGUACAUAGAGUAAUAUGGUUGUCAUUUUCCGUAAUGUAAUUGACUAGGAAUAAGAAAUAAACAAACCAAGGUUGGAAAAUGUUUAAUGAAUGUUAGUGAAUUCGCCCUAUGCUAGGAUAAGUUUUUUUUGUGCAAAUUGUAUGAUUAGAAGAAACUUAGAAAUAGAAAGAAAGUAGAGAGGUAAGUUUUUUUGACCAUCAGUAAAAAAAGCCUAAUAGUGUCAUCAAGCAGCCCAAACAUAUCAUAGAGUAGCCCAAAGAAUCGCAAGUAGCGGAUUAUGAAUUUAAGUAGCACAUACCCUUCAAAAGUAGCCCAAUCCGCUACUUUUCGCCCAAUAUGGCAACACUGCCUCCGUACCCUCGGCCUUGUUUGUUUACACCAAAGACCCUAUAAAAGAAAGACUGGAAAGCACCAAAAUUA